rnacentral:rRNA from 1 species
CCUACGGGUGGCAGCAGUGAGGAAUAUUGGUCAAUGGACGCAAGUCUGAACCAGCCAUGCCGCGUGCAGGAAGACGGCUCUAUGAGUUGUAAACUGCUUUUGUACGAGGGUAAAUCCCGAUACGUGUAUCGGGUUGAAAGUAUCGUACGAAUAAGGAUCGGCUAACUCCGUGCCAGCAGCCGCGGUAAUACGGAGGAUGCGAGCGUUAUCCGGAUUUAUUGGGGUUAAAGGGUGCGCAGGCGGAGGUGCAAGUCAGCGGUCAAAUUGCGGGGCUCAACCCCGUACUGCCGUUGAAACUGCAGCCCUUGAGUGCGCGAGAAGUAUGCGGAAUGCGUGGUGUAGCGGUGAAAUGCAUAGAUAUCACGCAGAACUCCGAUUGCGAAGGCAGCAUACCGGCGCGCAACUGACGCUCAUGCACGAAAGCGUGGGUAUCGAACAGGAUUAGAUACCCUAGUAGUC